AAUAAGGAUGGAGUCCUCCAAGCCUCACUCCCUUUGAGGAGCAGCUGCUGGGAUGUGAGCACAGUGCUGCAGAAUUCCACUGGAGAAGAGCCAGUACCUCUAGCGGACGAGCUCCCACUCAGGAAAGCCCCCUUCAUUCCAAGCACAUGGGGACCAAGGGGCACGGACUGGAAGUGUGGGCUCCGGCAGACCUGCAAACGUGCUCAGAAGAUCAACGGAAUGGGGUUGGGGGGCGGGGAGCAGAGGUUGUGCAAUGCACCACCAGAAGCGGAGCCUCCAUCAACGGUGCAGCUGGUGGUCAGUCUGCCACCUCCAGGGACGGCGCAGAGCUGCCGGAUCCACACAGCUGCCCAGGCCGGGGUCUGGAUCCUGGGGCACCGAAGGGCCGCGGACUCUCUCGGGGCAGCCCCGCGCUCCGCCCGCUGGGGCCCGGCCGAGGCGCCCCGGGGUCCCUUCGCCGCCCACACCCCCAGCGCCGCGCCGCUGUAUCCAGUUCUUUGUGACCCCUUGGACUGUAACCUGCCAGGCUCCCUUGUCCAUGGAAUUCUCCAAGCAAGAAUACUGGAGUGGGUAGCCAUUCCCUUCUCCAGGGGAUCUUCCUAACCCAGGGAUUGAACUCUGGUCUCCUGCAUUGCAGGCAGAUUCUGCUACUAUGAAUUCCUCAAAUUUGCACAUGAAUUUGAAGAACAAAUGGUGAACUUCUGCAAAGAAAGCUGCUGGGAUUUGGGCAGGGAUUACACCGAAUUCUAAGAUCAAUUUGGGGAGUACUGUCCUCUUUAACAAUAUUGUUUCCUGAUCCAUGAGUAUGAGAUUGCUUUCUAUUUAUUUCAGUUGAGUUCAGUCGCUCAGUCGUGUCCAACUCUCUGCGACCCCAUGGACUUCGGCACACCAGGCUUCCCUGCCCAUCACCAACUCCCGGAGCUUGCUCAAACUCAUGUCCAUCAAGUCGGUGAUGCCAUCCAACUGCCUCAUCCUCUGUCAUCCCCUUCUCCUCCUGCCUUCAAUCUUUCCCAGCAUCAGGGUCUUUUCCAAUGAGCCAGUUCUUCACAUCAGGUGGCCAAAGUAUUGGAGUUUCAGCUUCAGCAUCAGUCCUUCCAAUGAAUAUUCAGGACUGAUUUCCUUUAGGAUGGACUGGUUAGAUCUCCUUGCUGUCCGAUGGACUCUAUUUAAAUCAUCUUUCAGAGCUUCCCUGGUGGCUCAGCUGGUAAAGAAUCCCCCUGCAAUGUGGGAGACCUGGGUUCCAUCCCUGGGUUGGGAAGAUCC
rnacentral:lncRNA from 1 species